rnacentral:rRNA from 1 species
GUGGUUACGGUUCUGACGUAAGGGUAGACCUCCCACCCUUGUGUAUUAUUACUUUGUUGCUUUGGCGAGCUGCCUUUGGGCCUUGUAUGCUCGCCAGAGAAUACCAAAACUCUUUUUAUUAAUGUCGUCUGAGUACUAUAUAAUAGUUAAAACUUUCAACAACGGAUCUCUUGGUUCUGGCAUCGAUGAAGAACGCAGCGAAAUGCGAUAAGUAAUGUGAAUUGCAGAAUUCAGUGAAUCAUCGAAUCUUUGAACGCACAUUGCGCCCCUUGGUAUUCCGGGGGGCAUGCCUGUUCGAGCGUCAUUUCAACCCUCAAGCUUAGCUUGGUAUUGAGUCUAUGUCAGUAAUGGCAGGCUCUAAAAUCAGUGGCGGCGCCGCUGGGUCCUGAACGUAGUAAUAUCUCUCGUUACAGGUUCUCGGUGUGCUUCUGCCAAAACCCAAAUUUUUCUAUGGUUGACCUCGGAUCAGGUAGGGAUACCCGCUGAACUUAAGCAUAUCAAUAAGGGCGGAGGAA